CCCAUUCCGAAGAGGGUAACACCUUUUGAGCUCGGUCUCGUGGGUUUUGAAGAGUUUCAAAGCCUUCGGAUUCGUGAGAUUGGGAUCUCUUGGCGUACUUUCUCGUACGGUUAGUCAACAUCGGUUUUGAAUGUCAUAAAAUGACUGGAGGAAUGUAGCUUCGAUCUCGUAUUGAAGUGUUAUAGCCUUUGGUAGAUGUGAUGUUUGAGAUCGAGGAUUGCAACGGAUACCCUUCUGGGCUAUUCGUCUGAUCUCUGAAACGUUGCCUUGAUGUCGAAAGCUUGCUUAUGAUGUUAGGGUAUUACGGUCAAAAGGUUAGAACGGAUUAAAUUCGUUAAGGUGGUUUGACGUAGAGUACCCUAACAUCAUAAGCAAGCUUUCAAUCAAGGCGACGUUUUCAGAGAUAAACAAAUAACCAGAAGGGUAUCCGUUUGCAUCGCGAUUUCUAAAUUCAAACUUCCCAGGCUAUUAAAUUUCUUACAAGGUUGAAACUACUUCCUCCCAUCUUCUUUUGACCUUCAAAACAAUUUGAACAACACUACCAAAAAUUUACCCAGCGUUCCCAUUUUGGAACCCAAGGGUUUAAAUUUUUCAAACCCCCAAACCCAAGUAAAAAAUGAUUUCCCCUAGGUUGAACAAAAUUCGUUCUUUCCCUUUUCAAAAAAGA
rnacentral:rRNA from 1 species